rnacentral:rRNA from 1 species
CAGCGAAAGUGAGUCUGAACAGGGCAUUCAGUCCGCUGCUUUAGACCCGAAACCAGGUGAUCUAGCCAUGCGCAGGAUGAAGGUGCGGUAACACGCACUGGAGGACCGAACCGGGAUCUGUUGAAAAAGAUUCGGAUGACCUGUGGGUCGGAGUGAAAGGCUAAUCAAGUCCGGAGAUAGCUGGUUCUCCCCGAAAGCUAUUUAGGUAGCGCCUCGGACGAAUACCACAGGGGGUAGAGCACUGUUUCGGCUAGGGGGUCAUCCCGACUUACCAACCCGAUGCAAACUCCGAAUACCUGUGAGUACUAUCCGGGAGACACACGGCGGGUGCUAACGUCCGUCGUGAAGAGGGAAACAACCCAGACCGCCAGCUAAGGUCCCCAAGUUCCAGUUAAGUGGGAAACGAUGUGGGAAGGCUCAGACAGCUAGGAGGUUGGCUUAGAAGCAGCCAUCCUUUAAAGAAAGCGUAAUAGCUCACUAGUCGAGU